CGGCUGAAGGAACCAGGCGGGUCCUGAGGGGCGGGCCGGAGCGGACUGAGGGGGAGCCCGACAAGUGCAAGCCCUGAGGGAGCCCAGGCUGGGCGACCACAGAGGGUGGAUUAAAGUGAGGCGUGCAGUUGUUAUGAAGCAUCAUGGUCUUUCACGGCAUCUUCCAGGAGAAAUUCCAGGUCCAUUUCUCGCCCCUGAUUAUGUGAUCACAUGCCAGAGCACUCCGGGAGAGGGGAAGAUAAAGGCACUGACAGAUGAAGUCUAGUCCAAGAUGAAACAGAGAAGCAGUGGAAGGCUGAGCUCCUGCAAGCUAAUUUACACCUUUAUUCUUCACUUGCUUUCCUGGCAGCAGGAUCUGCAUAUAAAGCUCCUUCCUCUGCACUGCUUUCACCCACAAGUCUGAUUGAAUUGCACAUUGCAGAAUGCAGUGUGUGGAGGGCAUGCACAGCACCAGUGUGAGCAGGUGUCCCCCAUGUUGGAUGAGCUGGUGCAGCUGCAGGAAGAAAAUGACAACCGUGGGGUGUGUGAUUCGUUCCCUGGCUGAUGCCUCUCUGAGCAUGCAAUGGCACUGAGCCACCCGAAAGCAGCAGCGAUGCAGGCGAUGUGACAGUGAAAGGGCAGAUGCUCUGGACGGUAGAGGAUGCUAGAGAAGAGGUAAAUUUUCCACGGCGCUUUUCUCCAUUAGCAUCCCCCGAACCUCGCGUGGUAUCAGCUGGAGCCAGCGUCUCCCCGUUCGGGGGAUGCUUUAGGCACUGCGAGCUGCGUGUGUCUGCCCGUGUGUGCCCGCUCCUCCAGCUGCGUGCCUGCCACUGCUCGCAAACCCGGCACCUUGAAAUGGGUCCAGAAGUUUGCAUGAUCUCCCUCUAAGCACAUCCGCGGAGUCUGAGAGCUCUCUGCUCGGGAGAUCGCGGUGUUUCAGCCGCAGCAGGCAGGGAACCGCGCUUCCCCCCAUCUCCUGCCUCUGCCGAGCCACCAAGUGUUUCUGCCUCGGCUAUAGUUUGCUUCCUCAUUCCCACAUGUUCGGGCGGCAACCUUGGGAUGCCGGGGUGGCAGUCUGAUUCUUUGUCCUUCUAGGCUAUUAAAUGUAUUUUAAUUGAAUCGGGCAGAGAAAAAAACCCCAAAACACAUACACAAAGCCCAAGGCAUCAGGACUAGGUCCCCCUUCCCCGAAACAACAAACGGUUAAAUAAAUAACGAGAUGCCAAACCAACCAUCACCAAAAGAAUAAGCCAAAAAUCAGCGUCAGCGCCGCAGGAAACGGGAAAGUUUCUGCGCUCUGAAGCUGGUACCGCACGUCAAAGCGAGAAUCCAGGGGGAGGGGAGCGGAGCGCGGCCUCAGCCCAGCGCCUGCGAGAGCCGGGGAUGCGCUGGUGCGCCCAGCCCUGCAUCCCGGAGCGACUGCCCGAGAGAUGCUGCUGUGACUUGGUUCUGCGCCGCGAAAAGAACGGCUCCGAGCCCCCACCCCCGUCUCCUCCCGCCCUCCUCUUCCUUCCCCCUCCCCCGGGUCCUGCGGGGAGGCGGGUUUAAGGUGGG